GAUUCAUAAAGAAAUUACUUCUGUUCUGAAGGUCUGUACAGUUUUAGUUUAACAUUACGAUAAUAGUGUUUUUUACAUGCCAAUUAGCGUUCAAACAGAGUGAUAAUUCAGUUGAACUGGUAACAAAUAACCAUUGACAAGCUUAGUCCAUUAACUGUCAAAGUCAUAUCAAUACCAGGUAAUUCCUCAUCUCAGUAUUCUCUCAAUAAUGGCAAUGUACCUCAAGAUAUCAGUAGUCCACAACAAUAGCCAUUUAAUAGUACACGGUGCAGGGAUUAAUAUGCGGCAUAUUAUACACGGUAGCUGCUUAUAAUCUAUAAUAUGUAUUGGUGUAUCAUAGCCCAUGGCACAGACUUCAAACAUCGCUCAGCAACUCCUGUGUUCUGUGAAAUUUGACCUUAGCUGGACUUGCUCAAGCAAAUACACGGUACCACCUAAUUGCCAACCUAUAGCAGUCUCAUCUUGAUCUUCCAUAGGGUAGCGGUGCAGCGCCAAGCAUGAAGCCUUCAUGCAUAUUCCAGUUCGUAUCUAUUCAAGAAUUAAAAAAUAGGAUAUUUUGAAGGUAAAAGCGAGACAAACAAAUAAAAAGAGAAUUCUAUGUGGCUUUAUAAGACAAAAUUUCCAUCCACCCCAUCCUUAAACUUUCAAACUAUUUGUUAGACCAAAACAUAUUUUAGGAGUUGGAAGUUGGAAUACACAGAUGGUAGCUUUGGUGUAAUAGUAAAGUUAUUCCAUUUAUGACUUGAAUGUCAUAGGGUACAAGCCACGGAAACAAUCUCUCUAGUCUCUAUAAAGUAGGGUAAGACUGUGCACAUCAACCUUCUCAGAGCACUUUUAAGUUGGAAUACACAUGCAUACACCUCUGUAAAGUGAACAAAGAAAAUGCCUUCUCCCUAGGUAGGAUCACUAAAAAAAUGUUGGCAGUGGCAGCAGAAAGAAAAUCAGGUUGAAGGAAAACAAUAAAAAAUAGAAGCAGCCAUUGAUAACAAAGAAGUUGAGCCAACCAACUAAAAAAGCACAACAAAAGAAAUGGGAAAAGAAAGGAAGGGAGAGAGAGAUGGAAAUAUAAAAAGGACACGACGCAUAACCAAAAAAAACAAAGCAAUAUUCAAAGCAAGCAAGAUGAGGAAAGACAUACUAUCCUUAAUAUUAUCAUGGCAAAACAUAUUUACAAGAUUAGCUAACAAGGAAAUACAAGUGUAAAUAAUUCAGCAGCAGUAAUGCAUAAUAACCAAGAUAACGUCUGCAAAAAUGAUUUCAAAUUCUACUUUCUUACAACAAAUUGCACUGCCCAUUACAGACAAGCUGAUUUUAUAUGGAAAAGCUGACCUCUUAACUUCGAUUACUUUUAUGCAUGAUGCAUCACACCCUAUUUGAUCUGAAGGACAGCUUUCUCAGCCUGUAGUUGUUCCACAACCCAACAGCUCCUCAGAGCUCUAAAAAUCAACGUCUCUUUGUAAGAGAAUUGUUAUGCAUCUCAAGCAACUUAUCAAGGUUUGUCAGGAACCAAUCUUCCUCUUUCUGGGCAUACAACCUUUGAUGCAGUGAGUCCACAUAUAUGCUUACGUUUCCAUAGCCAUAAAUCUGGUGACCAUUGUAUGUCCUGCCAGGUUUAGGCUUAAAUAGCAAGCCAUGAUGUUGUGCAUGUGCCUCAACAACUUCCUUCAAAGUCAUCUCAAGACCACCACCCACACCAUCUGCCGGGACUGUGCUUCCCACACCCAUUGCAGGUUGCUGUUGAGCAUGUGAUGCAAACUGCUUUGGUUCUUGUGCCCUAAGAUAACUCUCCCUCAAGCCAGGUUGGACCACUUCCAUACCUUCAAUAGCCCGAUCAAUCAUGUUGAGGCCAAGAGUAAAUUGAUAUCGAAUGUUUUCAUGGGCCUGAAGCUCCGGUGGGAGGAGUCCCUUCCAACCUGUAUACCAUCUAUGAACCUCCUGUAAGUUUGGAUUUGAACACAACCAAUGAUAUAGAAUCUGCAGCCACUUGACAAAGAAAAAUCUUUCCAUCAAAUCAACCAUGAGAUGAAUUGGAAUUGCAGAAGCCCAUGAUAUGACCCAAUAGAAUUGAUCAAGGUUUUGAGCAGUAGGAUUUAUUUGAAACUCUUGUAAUGCAACCUCCAACUUAGGAACUAUAAAUUUGCGCAUAAGAUUUUCCCAACUAGCUGAAUCAAACACAGUUUUCCAAGGGUACAAUAUAGCAUAAGCAGACGUAUCACUAGGGUGCCAAGCACCAAGAACCAUAGACAACUUCAUACGUAUCUUCUCGUAUAAAUACUCCAAUCUCUGUCCCAACUGCGGCAGCCAUGGAUGCACCCAAACAUGGAUUGGAACAGUUUCCCGACGAGGGUCCCACAAAUCCACAGCAGUAGACAAUUUUGGCAGGACUACAUUAUCUAAUAUGCUCUGGAUAACUGAUGCAGGCAACAACUUUUCCCAUGACUCCAAAAAUCUAAGCAUCGGUUCAGGGUCCCUAGGUUCCCAAGUAUUUAUACCAGCUAUUCUUACAGCAGGUAAAACUACUUCAGAUACUAAUUGUGUGAAUGGUGUGGCUACAUUCCAAAUAUCAUUACCUUCCUCACCUUGCAGCACAUUCUUCCACAAUUCCACAAGUUCCAAUCCAUGCAAUGGAUUUCUAAGAGGAUCCCAUCCCUGAAAUACUCUAAUGAACAAAGGCAAAGCAAAUGAACAAGCUAUGCUAGACAAGUUGCAAAGCUUGUAAUCAUCUGCAAAUUUCCUUCGUAGGCCAGCAAAACACUUUGCUAACAAAUCCAAGGUCAAGGUUCCAGAGGAAUUCUGUUCCUCAAUAUAGCUCAACAUGCUCAUGAUUUCCUCCAUGUUAUCCAAUUGUUUCUUCUGGCGUGAAGCCUCCAUUUCCAGCUUCUCUCUCUCUUUCUGCAAGCUAAUAGCUGUCUCCCUCUCGUUUCUCAAAUCUCUAUCAAUCUUCUGAAUGUCCAACUCUGCCAAGUCCACAAUUAGCCUCACAUUAUGCUGAAGUUCUGCCAUUGGAAUAUCAUUUUCCCUUGCCUUCUGCUCUGCAUUCAGAUUCUCCAAAUUUGUUAGCACUCUCACUUGAGGUCCCCGCAUGUCAAGCACCUUCUGUACAACCUCAAAACCUUGUUCUUCCUUCUUUGCCAACAACUCCUCUGCUGUUAUAUACUCCUCUUUCUUCUUCUUCCUCCCCUUCAUCCAGAGCCUCUCCUUUGCUCUCCCUACAGCGUGACUCUGGCUCUGGUUCUCAAUCGCACUAUUAAUCUCCUCCAGCUGAGGCAACUUAGAGGACGCUUCUUUAAAAUCAUUGAAACCCAUUCCCAUAUUUUUAGGCCUCAUCUUUGCUUCAAUUGGAGCCACAAUCCCUUGCUCGUUCUUCCCCAGUCCACCUCCCUUAUACCCCAUUUUCUCCAACAAUCUCAUCCCAAUUCCUUUUGUAUGCUUCUCAAACUCCCCAACAUCCCCAGUUCUCACUUCUCUCUUUUUCCCUCCUUCCUUUUCUUUCUUUUCCAAUCUCUUCCGCUCCCUCCUUUGUGCUCCCUCUUUUAUCCUCCUCCCAAACUCAGUAGGCAAAAAAUUAUCCUCAUCCUCACUACCAACCUCAUUCUCAAACCCCUCACUCUUUUCAACCCCAUUAUUACUACCAUUAAACCCUAAGCCGGAACUAAACCCCAGCCCCGACCCUGAACCUGACCCCAAACCUGGCCUGUCAUUAUCAUCGGCAAACAUAUCAUCAACAUUCUCUUCUUUGGCAUUCUUAUCAAUUUCUUGGUUAGGCAUCACGGUACCUGUAGAGACGAAAUUGACGGGCUUAGAAAGGUCAGGCUUCCGGCCAAAAUCACGGUCUUUUCUCCGUUUACGCGAGGAAGAUGAGCCGUAGCCAAAUUCGUCAUCUGAAUCGGAAUAGUCGGCGAAAACCCCAUAGAGAACAUCAUCCUUGGUUUGCUUGCGCUUCUCUUUGCGACUCCGAUAGAAGAACUCGCCGUUUAUCCAUUGGCCGUCCUCGAAGUCGUUCUCCGUGCCAAAUCUCUCCAUCUCCUGGUAAUCGUCCAUCUUGAAUUUAAUCUCUAGCUCCCUGUUGCCUACUCUUUACUCCUGCAAUCUGGAAAAUAAAAAAUGAAUAAACGAAACCAGUAAAACCCUAGAAUCUAGUGCGCAGUUGAUUUUUAGAUAUCAGGGAAAGCCAAGGAGUGCACGGGUGAUAGUUCUAACGGAAAAUUGCUUCGCUAAAUACAUAAUUGCAUCCUUAUAUAUAUGUCUUUUAAAUUUAACACAUUACACCCCCAAAUUUUUAUUAAAAGUUCAUUACCUUAAUUAUUAUUAUUAACAUUCGAAAUGUAAAUUAACUCUCCACGUGUCACUUCGAUAUUCGCACAUUCUCUAACCGCCCAAUCUACAGUCUACCCGCCAUUCGUCUUCCUCCUCCACCUGACUAGUAUUGCUACUGCCACUCUCGCUGGUCAAGCUCUCUCCUGUCUGCUCAAUCCCUUAGCCAGCUGCUCCUGCAAUGGCCAGGUCUCUGGUUGUCCCUCUAGCUAGUACAGCACCAUCAAAGCACUCUUCUUUGUUCCCAAAUUUCCCUUUCCAUUUCCAUUCUCAUUCCAUUCCCUCCAGAACCCUUUCUUUGGCUAUCCACAAGCCUUCUAAUUGUUAUACCCACUAUUCUCUAACUUCACUUCAUCGACGCCUCUCUCCGGUUCCUGCUCUAGAUUCCGACGUUCCUCACCCUCUUCAGGAGGGAUCAGCGAAUGUAAAGGGUAGUAAGAGCUUUGAACAAUGGGAUUCAUGGACGGCGAAAUUUUCCGGAGCCUCAAAUAUCCCAUUUCUGUUGCUUCAAAUGCCUCAGAUCAUCCUCAACGCGCAAAAUCUAAUGGCUGGCAAUAAAACUGCCCUUUUUGCUGUGCCAUGGCUGGGGAUGUUUACUGGGUUGCUCGGAAAUCUUUCUUUACUUUCUUACUUUGUGAAAAAGAAGGAAACAGAGGUAAUUGUGGUGCAAACGCUGGGAGUGGUUUCCAUUUAUUUAGUAAUUACUCAGCUUGCAAUGGCAGAAGCUAUGCCUCUGCCUCACUUUCUGGCCACUUCAGUAGUUGUGGCAACCGGUCUGGUGUUGAAUUUCUUCAAUUACCUUGGAAAGCUUAAUGCUGGAAUCUGGCGUGUUUGGGAAGAUUUUAUAACAGUGGCUGGACUCUCGGCUCUUCCCCAGGUGCUCUUUUUUCUUGCUUACUUUCACACCAUACAUGCGUGCACCAAUGUUGAUGCAUCUACGAGUGUAUUGAUCUUGGCAGUUUAGGGAAGUAAAAUAUUAAUUUAGUUUUCAGUAGUUAUGUUAACAAACGCUCACAUAUUUGUAAAUUGGAGCACAGGUCAUGUGGUCUACUUUUGUCCCAUAUAUACCAAGCACUAUCUUGCCUGGGGCAAUAGCAUUUGUCAUAGCUGUAACAGCUGUUAUAAUGGUAAGCUUUUGCGAUUUCCAUUUCCUGUUGGUGCAUUGCUCUAACCGGAUUAUCAGAGGCUAUUUCCAGGAUAAGAAACUGUGAGAAAAAUGUUAAUGAUCUUAUAACUCUCAGGAAUGAUGUACAGCAACUUCUUCAAACACUUUAAAAUUUUUUUGUUGGAACUUGGGUUUACAUUAGACGGCUUUACUCUAAAUGUAAUCCUACUCGAGGUUCUACCUGUAAAACUAGUUUGAGGUUUUUAUUUUUUGCUUCUUCCCUUUCUUUCCCAUUGUUUAUUGUUUUAUGCAAGAAAAUGAGCAUUUGGAUUCAGAAUUUUUUUGGACUUACAGCGGCUAAGAUUUGCAGGCACGAACAGGUAAGCUUUCAGAGAAAGGUGUUAAAUUUGUUGGAGGAAUAUCUGGAUGGACGGCAACUCUUCUUUUCAUGUGGAUGCCAGUUUCACAGAUGGUGAUCUUUGUUAUGCCCUUGUUUCAAUUUGGUGGCUUAUUGAUGUUUGUCUUACAUGCAUACCUGACCAAGAACAGCGAUUUCUAUUCAGUGGACAAAUUUCCUGAAUCCUGAGAACAUCAAAGGCUUAUCAGCCUUCUCAAUGCUGCUUGCUAUGAUUGGAAAUGGACUUAUGAUCCCACGUGCACUCUUAAUUCGCGAUUUUAUGUGGUUCACCGGGUCGACCUGGGCUGCACUCUUUUAUGGGUAUGGGAAUAUUUUAUGCAUGUACUGUUUCAACAGUAUCAGCAGAGAAUUCUUUCUUGCAGCCACUGCUGGUUUGGUUCUAUGGAUAGGAAUGGCUCUGUGGAGAGACACUGUAGUAUACGGAUACAACUCACCUCUGAAAUGCUUGAGAGAGUUGGCUUUUGGCUCAACUUGAAGUUCAAUGAGAUGGUGUCCCAAGAUCUUAUUUCUGAAGCAUGAAAUAUGAAAGUUCAUCUUGACUCCAAAGGUGCCAUUGCUUGAUCAGGAUUGCAGCCAAAGUUUUCCAACCAUGGAAGUUUUAAUUGGAGAGCAUGUUUGUAUGGAGAUCACUUGAUGAACUUCCACCGUACGUUGCUAGUCGUAAUUGAUAUUAUACUAGAAAUUUAGCAUAGGGAUGUCUAGUUAAUAUUUGUAAUAAUUGGUGAUGCAAUUGUUGCCCAAUAAUCAGAUUUUUGAUAGGCAGAUCGAAGUUACAGCAAAUAAUUCCUGUAUGAAAUGAAUAGUUUUUCUUUGUAAUAAAGGGUCUGAUUCGUUUCAAUGAAGGCUAGUUUUU
rnacentral:misc_RNA from 1 species